AUUGAACGCUGGCGGCAGGCCUAACACAUGCAAGUCGAACGAGCGGCGGACGGGUGAGUAAUGUCUGGGAAACUGCCUGAUAGAGGGGGAUAACUACUGGAAACGGUAGCUAAUACCGCAUACUAUCGGAUGUGCCCAUAUGGGAUUAGCUUGUUGGUGGGGUAACGGCUCACCUAGGCGACGAUCGCUAGCUGGUCUGAGAGGAUGAUCAGCAACACUGGGACUGAGACACGGCCCAGACUCCUACGGGAGGCAGCAGUGGGGAAGAUUGCACAAUGGGCGAAAGCCUGAUGCAGCCAUGCCGCGGGGAUGAAGAAGGCCUUAGGGUUGUAAAGUACUUUUAGCGGGGAGGCGUUACCCGAAGAAGAAGCACCGGCUAACUCCGUGCCAGCAGCCGCGGUAAUUC
rnacentral:rRNA from 1 species